rnacentral:rRNA from 1 species
AACCAACAGGGAUUGCCCCAGUAACGGCGAGUGAAGCGGCAACAGCUCAAAUUUGAAAUCUGGUCCCCAGGGCCCGAGUUGUAAUUUGUAGAGGAUGCUUUUGGCGAGGCGCCUUCCGAGUUCCCUGGAACGGGACGCCACAGAGGGUGAGAGCCCCGUCUGGUCGGAUGCCAAGCCUAUGUAAAGCUCCUUCGACGAGUCGAGUAGUUUGGGAAUGCUGCUCAAAAUGGGAGGUAUAUGUCUUCUAAAGCUAAAUACCGGCCAGAGACCGAUAGCGCACAAGUAGAGUGAUCGAAAGAUGAAAAGCACUUUGAAAAGAGGGUUAAAAAGUACGUGAAAUUGUUGAAAGGGAAGCGCCUAUGACCAGACUUGGGCCCGGUGAAUCAUCCAGCGUUCUCGCUGGUGCACUUUGCCGGGCACAGGCCAGCAUCAGUUUGGCGCGGGGGAUAAAGGCUUCGGGAAUGUGGCUCCCUCGGGGAGUGUUAUAGCCCGUUGUGUAAUA